rnacentral:lncRNA from 1 species
UUACAAGUGGGCUCCGGUAUCCAAGGACUAUUUUUGCUGAAGAUAACUCAAGUCAGUCUACUCCCUUUUAUAUACAUAUUUUUUGAACUCAAGGAUUUAAUUGUACAAUCUACUGUUCAAUUAAGAUUCUCACUUUUUAAUACACACUUUCGAAGUCCAUUUCAUGAACUAUUUAUGUUUUUGUUGAGAUGCUAAAUAUAACAGUUCUCACACUGUUUCUAAGCUAUGCAUAUUUACUACUAUCUCAUUUUGUCAACGCAUUCAUUAUCUAGUGACCACAAAUGUCUUUCUGGAUUAUUCUUUAUAAUUACACCUUUUUUUCUCAUAUAUUCUAAGUCGAUAUACUUUAAGCAUCUCCUAAAAAUAAUUCAUGUAGAAUAUUUUAAUACAUGAUAGUUGAUACUUCUAGAAAUUAGGCUUUACAUGCCAUAAGUUUCUAUGCUUUAUGUGCAAUGUAUCUCUUACUGUUCUCUUCUGAUGGGUACUGGCUCUUUAAUUACUUCCCAUGAUGGAAGCAGGGGAUGGCAACGAAGAGGGUAGUGCACAAGAAAAUAUUUCUGCUGAUAGUACAAAAAGGUCAUGGUGGAAAACUUCUCUGCCUUACCCUAAUGUUUUGGACCCCUGUCUCUACUUGAUACGAAAAUACUGAAAUACUUUGACACUGAUAGGCUAGUUUUUAUUGGUGUGUUGGCAGG